CUAAGAAUAUUCCGCAAUGGAGGAAACUCUGACGGAGCAACGCCGCGUGGACGAUGAAGGCCGGAAGGUUGUAAAGUCCUUUUAUAAUUGAGGAAUAAGCGGGACAGGGAAUGGUUCCGCGGUGACUGUAGAUUAUGAAUAAGCACCGGCUAAUUACGUGCCAGCAGCCGCGGUAACACGUAAGGUGCGAGCGUUAUUCGGAAUUAUUGGGCGUAAAGGGCACGCAGGCGGCUUUGCAAGCUUGGUGUGAAAUCUCAGGGCUCAACCCUGAAACUGCAUUGAGAACUGCAUGGCUAGAGUUAG
rnacentral:rRNA from 1 species